rnacentral:rRNA from 1 species
CCUACGGGAGGCAGCAGUGAGGAAUAUUGGUCAAUGGACGCAAGUCUGAACCAGCCAUGCCGCGUGCAGGAUGAUGGCUCUAUGAGUUGUAAACUUCUUUUGUUCGAGGGUAAACCCCGAUACGAGUAUCGUGUUGCAUGUAACGUACGAAUAAGCAUCGGCUAACUCCGUUCCAGCAGCCGCGGUAAUACGGAGGAUCCGAGCGUUAUCCGGAUUUAUUGGGUUUACAGGGUGCGUAGGCGGUUUGAUAAGUUAGAGGUGAAAUGUCGGGGCUCAACCCCGAAACUGCCUCUAAUACUGGUGGACGAGGGAAUAGUGGCGGUAGGCGGAAUGUAUGGUGUAGCGGUGAAAUGCUUAGAGAUCAUACAGAACACCGAUUGCGAAGGCAGCUUACCAAACUAUAUCUGACGUUGAGGCACGAAAGCGUGGGUAGCAAACAGGAUUAGAUACCCCGGUAGUC